rfam:Fistulina hepatica ATCC 64428 unplaced genomic scaffold FISHEscaffold_484, whole genome shotgun sequence.
UGCCCCAUGGCCUAGUUGGUUAAGGCGUCCGACUGUUAAUCGGGAGAUCGAGAGUUCAAGCCUCUCUGGGGCAG